rnacentral:rRNA from 1 species
UGGGGAAUAUUGGACAAUGGGCGCAAGCCUGAUCCAGCCAUGCCGCGUGUGUGAAGAAGGCCUUUUGGUUGUAAAGCACUUUAAGCGAGGAGGAGGCUACUUGGAUUAAUACUCUAAGAUAGUGGACGUUACUCGCAGAAUAAGCACCGGCUAACUCUGUGCCAGCAGCCGCGGUAAUACAGAGGGUGCGAGCGUUAAUCGGAUUUACUGGGCGUAAAGCGUGCGUAGGCGGCUUCUUAAGUCGGAUGUGAAAUCCCUGAGCUUAACUUAGGAAUUGCAUUCGAUACUGGGAAGCUAGAGUAUGGGAGAGGAUGGUAGAAUUCCAGGUGUAGCGGUGAAAUGCGUAGAGAUCUGGAGCAAUACCGAUGGCGAAGGCAGCCAUCUGGCCUAAUACUGACGCUGAGGUACGAAAGCAUGGGGAGCAAACAGG